rnacentral:rRNA from 1 species
AGUGAACGCUGGCGGUAGGCCUAACACAUGCAAGUCGAACGGCAGCACAGUAAGAGCUUGCUCUUACGGGUGGCGAGUGGCGGACGGGUGAGGAAUACAUCGGAAUCUACUUUUUCGUGGGGGAUAACGUAGGGAAACUUACGCUAAUACCGCAUACGACCUACGGGUGAAAGCAGGGGAUCUUCGGACCUUGCGCGAUUGAAUGAGCCGAUGUCGGAUUAGCUAGUUGGCGGGGUAAAGGCCCACCAAGGCGACGAUCCGUAGCUGGUCUGAGAGGAUGAUCAGCCACACUGAAACUGAGACACGGUCCAGACUCCUACGGGAGGCAGCAGUGGGGAAUAUUGGACAAUGGGCGCAAGCCUGAUCAGCCAUACCGCGUGGGUGAAGAAGGCCUUCGGGUUGUAAAGCCCUUUUGUUGGGAAAGAAAAGCAGCAGGUUAAUACCCCGCUGUUCUGACGGUACCCAAAGAAUAAGCACCGGCUAACUUCGU